rnacentral:rRNA from 1 species
AUGUACAUUCCUACAACAUAUAAUUAAUGCACCAUAUCCCAUUAAAACUCCGCAGUUAAGCACGCUUAGGAUAUAGUAGUACUAGGAUGGGUGACCGCCUCAGAAGUCCUAGUAUUUUACAUG